CUAAGCUUUUGCUUCGUGUCUUCAUAAUAAGACUUCCACAGCGAAGACUUACGUUUACUCUGUUUUUCUCCCUCUCUCUCUCCAAACCUCUCUCUUCUCCGCUCUCUGAAAAACAAAUUGUAGGGACCAGAAUGACGGAGGUGGAGGUGGAGAUAGUGAAACCGCAUACUGACAAGAGAGAGUAUAGGAGGAUCGUUCUUAAGAACUCUCUUGAAGUGCUCCUCAUCAGCGAUCCCGAUACCGAUAAGAGUGCUGCUUCCAUGGAUGUUGGUGUAGGCUACUCCAGCGACCCCGUCGGCCUCGAAGGACUCGCCCACUUUCUCGAACAUAUGUUGUUUUAUGCUAGUGAAAAAUAUCCAAUGGAGGGUAGUUAUUCGGAGUACAUUUUGGAGAAUGGAGGCCAGUACAAUGCAUAUACAUCUUAUGAGCACACCAACUACCAUUUUGAAGUUAAUAGUGAUUGUUUUGAGGAGGCUUUGGACAGGUUUGCACAAUUCUUUCUUGGACCAUUGUUGUCAGCUGAUGCAACCAUGAGGGAAAUUAAAGCUGUUGAUUCAGAGAAUGAGAAAAAUUUAUUGUCUGAUGGUUGGAGAAUGACCCAGCUUCAGAAACAUCUCAGUGA
rnacentral:misc_RNA from 1 species